AGAGUUUGAUCCUGGCUCAGGAUGAACGCUGGCGGCGUGCCUAAUACAUGCAAGUCGAACGAAUCUUCUUCGGAAGAUGAGUGGCGAACGGGUGAGUAAUACAUAGGUAACCUGCCCCUGUGCGGGGGAUAACAGGAGGAAACUCCUGCUAAUACCGCAUAGCCAUGAGCACCGCAUGGAGCUCAUGCCAAAUAUCCUUUCGGGGAUAGCGCAGGGAUGGACCUAUGGCGCAUUAGCUGGUUGGCGGGGCAACGGCCCACCAAGGCAACGAUGCGUAGCCGGCCUGAGAGGGCGGACGGCCACAUUGGGACUGAGACACGGCCCAGACUCCUACGGGAGGCAGCAGUAGGGAAUUUUCGGCAAUGGGGGAAACCCUGACCGAGCAACGCCGCGUGAGCGAAGAAGGCCUUCGGGUCGUAAAGCUCUGUUGUAAAGGAAGAACGGCGCAUACAGGAAAUGGUAUGCGAGUGACGGUACUUUACCAGAAAGCCACGGCUAACUACGUGCCAGCAGCCGCGGUAAUACGUAGGUGGCGAGCGUUAUCCGGAAUCAUUGGGCGUAAAGAGGGAGCAGGCGGCCGCAAGGGUCUGUGGUGAAAGACCGAAGCUAAACUUCGGUAAGCCAUGGAAACCGGGCGGCUAGAGUGCGGAAGAGGAUCGUGGAAUUCCAUGUGCAGCGGUGAAAUGCGUAGAUAUAUGGAGGAACACCAGUGGCGAAGGCGACGGUCUGGGCCGCAACUGACGCUCAUUCCCGAAAGCGUGGGGAGCAAAUAGGAUUAGAUACCCUAGUAGUCCACGCCGUAAACGAUGGUCACUAAGUGUCGGGGGUCAAACCCCGGUGCUGCAGUCAACGCAAUAAGUGACCCGCCUGAGUAGUACGUUCGCAAGAAUGAAACUCAA
rnacentral:rRNA from 1 species